rnacentral:lncRNA from 1 species
UAAUUAUCAUAGUUCUUGUCGGAGUCUGGAGUCUAAAAUGGAUUUUGGACUCUGCUGCCUGCCUACAUCCGAUGGUAAAAUUGCUUUUGGUCUCGCCUGCCUGCCUACAUCCGAUGGUAAAAUUGAUUUUGGUCUCGCCUGCCUACAUCCGAUGGUAAAAUUGAUUUUGGUCUCGCCCGCCUGCCUACAUCCGAUGGUAAAAUUGAUUUUGGUCUCGCCAGAUUACAUCUAGAGAUGGAAGACUUCAGAGGAAAGUUAAGGAAUGUAAAUGUAAUGUGUGUGUUCAAUGAAUUUUCAGCAAUGUAAAUGUAAUGUGCGUGUUCAAUGAAGUUUCAGCAAUGUAAAUGUAAUGUGUGAGUUCAAUGAAGUUUCAGCAAUGUAAAUGUAAUUUGUGUGGUUCAAUGACGUUUCUGGAAUGUAAAUGUAAUUUGUGUGGCUCAAUAAAUUUUUGCUUUUAAAAUGAU